rnacentral:misc_RNA from 1 species
GUUUCCACCACUCAAUGUGAAUUUCUGGUUGCAAAGUGACUUCCUAUAUUUUCUGAAAUUAUAUAUAUUAAUACAAGAACAAAAGGGUAAAAUAUAAAGUUUCUGCAGAAUAUCUAAUAUCAAAUAUUCAAAUCAUUUUGAUUGUCCAUUGAAAGAGAUGCAAACUCAAUGGCUAUGCUUAACAAAAAAGUUCACUUUCUGAAUAUAUUCAAAAUUUUAAAAUGUAAAGUAACAUAUCAUACGUGUAAAUCAUUCGCAAACAAAUUUCUAAUUUUCCUAGACAUGAGCAGAAAAAUCUGAAUAGACCGUAC